rnacentral:sRNA from 1 species
ACAAUCGAUAUAUAAGAAACAUCGAUGU